rnacentral:rRNA from 1 species
AGCUUGCUGGGUGGAUUAGUGGCGAACGGGUGAGUAACACGUGAGUAACCUGCCCUUAACUCUGGGAUAAGCCUGGGAAACUGGGUCUAAUACCGGAUAGGAGCGUCCACCGCAUGGUGGGUGUUGGAAAGAUUUAUCGGUUUUGGAUGGACUCGCGGCCUAUCAGCUUGUUGGUGAGGUAAUGGCUCACCAAGGCGACGACGGGUAGCCGGCCUGAGAGGGUGACCGGCCACACUGGGACUGAGACACGGCCCAGACUCCUACGGGAGGCAGCAGUGGGGAAUAUUGCACAAUGGGCGAAAGCCUGAUGCAGCGACGCCGCGUGAGGGAUGACGGCCUUCGGGUUGUAAACCUCUUUCAGUAGGGAAGAAGCGAAAGUGACGGUACCUGCAGAAGAAGCACCGGCUAACUACGUGCCAGCAGCCGCGGUAAUACGUAGGGUGCGAGCGUUAUCCGGAAUUAUUGGGCGUAAAGAGCUCGUAGGCGGUUUGUCGCGUCUGUCGUGAAAGUCCGGGGCUUAACCCCGGAUCUGCGGUGGGUACGGGCAGACUAGAGUGCAGUAGGGGAGACUGGAAUUCCUGGUGUAGCGGUGGAAUGCGCAGAUAUCAUGAGGAACACCGAUGGCGAAGGCAGGUCUCUGGGCUGUAACUGACGCUGAGGAGCGAAAGCAUGGGGAGCGAACAGGAUUAGAUACCCUGGUAGUCCAUGCCGUAAACGUUGGGCACUAGGUGUGGGGACCAUUCCACGGUUUCCGCGCCGCAGCUAACGCAUUAAGUGCCCCGCCUGGGGAGUACGGCCGCAAGGCUAAAACUCAAAGGAAUUGACGGGGGCCCGCACAAGCGGCGGAGCAUGCGGAUUAAUUCGAUGCAACGCGAAGAACCUUACCAAGGCUUGACAUGUUCUCGAUCGCCGUAGAGAUAC